UACGGAGGGUGCAAGCGUUAUCCGGAUUCACUGGGUUUAAAGGGUGCGUAGGUGGGCCGGUAAGUCAGUGGUGAAAUCUCCGGGCUUAACCCGGAAACUGCCAUUGAUACUAUCUGUCUUGAAUACCGUGGAGGUGAGCGGAAUAUGUCAUGUAGCGGUGAAAUGCUUAGAUAUGACAUAGAACACCAAUUGCGAAGGCAGCUCACUACGCGAAUAUUGACACUGAGGCACGAAAGCGUGGGGAUCAAACAGG
rnacentral:rRNA from 1 species